rnacentral:rRNA from 1 species
GCUUAACCAUGCAGUCGAGCGCCCCGCAGGGGAGCGGCAGACGGGUGAGUAACGCGUGGCGAAUCUACCCAUCCCUACGGAAUAACCCAGGGAAACUUGGACUAAUACCGUAUACGACCGAGAGGUGAAAGAUUUAUCGGGGAUGGAUGAGCCCGCGUUGGAUUAGCUAGUUGGUGGGGUAAAGGCCUACCAAGGCGACGAUCCAUAGCUGGUCUGAGAGGAUGACCAGCCACACUGGGACUGAGACACGGCCCAGACUCCUACGGGAGGCAGCAGUGGGGAAUAUUGGACAAUGGGCGCAAGCCUGAUCCAGCCAUGCCGCGUGAGUGAUGAAGGCCCUAGGGUUGUAAAGCUCUUUCAACGGUGAAGAUAAUGACGGUAACCGUAGAAGAAGCCCCGGCUAACCUCGUGCCAGCAGCCGCGGUAAUACGAAGGGGCUAGCGUUGUUUCGGAAUUACUGGGGCGUAAAGCGCACGUAGGCGGA